rnacentral:rRNA from 1 species
AGAGUUUGAUCCUGGCUCAGAUUGAACGCUGGCGGCAGGCCUAACACAUGCAAGUCGAGCGGUAGCACAGAGAGCUUGCUCUCGGGUGACGAGCGGCGGACGGGUGAGUAAUGUCUGGGAAACUGCCUGAUGGAGGGGGAUAACUACUGGAAACGGUAGCUAAUACCGCAUAACGUCGCAAGACCAAAGUGGGGGACCUUCGGGCCUCAUGCCAUCAGAUGUGCCCAGAUGGGAUUAGCUGGUAGGUGGGGUAACGGCUCACCUAGGCGACGAUCCCUAGCUGGUCUGAGAGGAUGACCAGCCACACUGGAACUGAGACACGGUCCAGACUCCUACGGGAGGCAGCAGUGGGGAAUAUUGCACAAUGGGCGCAAGCCUGAUGCAGCCAUGCCGCGUGUGUGAAGAAGGCCUUCGGGUUGUAAAGCACUUUCAGCGGGGAGGAAGGCGGUGAGGUUAAUAACCUCACCGAUUGACGUUACCCGCAGAAGAAGCACCGGCUAACUCCGUGCCAGCAGCCGCGGUAAUACGGAGGGUGCAAGCGUUAAUCGGAAUUACUGGGCGUAAAGCGCACGCAGGCGGUCUGUCAAGUCGGAUGUGAAAUCCCCGGGCUCAACCUGGGAACUGCAUUCGAAACUGGCAGGCUAGAGUCUUGUAGAGGGGGGUAGAAUUCCAGGUGUAGCGGUGAAAUGCGUAGAGAUCUGGAGGAAUACCGGUGGCGAAGGCGGCCCCCUGGACAAAGACUGACGCUCAGGUGCGAAAGCGUGGGGAGCAAACAGGAUUAGAUACCCUGGUAGUCCACGCUGUAAACGAUGUCGAUUUGGAGGUUGUGCCCUUGAGGCGUGGCUUCCGGAGCUAACGCGUUAAAUCGACCGCCUGGGGAGUACGGCCGCAAGGUUAAAACUCAAAUGAAUUGACGGGGGCCCGCACAAGCGGUGGAGCAUGUGGUUUAAUUCGAUGCAACGCGAAGAACCUUACCUGGUCUUGACAUCCACAGAACUUUCCAGAGAUGGAUUGGUGCCUUCGGGAACUGUGAGACAGGUGCUGCAUGGCUGUCGUCAGCUCGUGUUGUGAAAUGUUGGGUUAAGUCCCGCAACGAGCGCAACCCUUAUCCUUUGUUGCCAGCGGUUAGGCCGGGAACUCAAAGGAGACUGCCAGUGAUAAACUGGAGGAAGGUGGGGAUGACGUCAAGUCAUCAUGGCCCUUACGACCAGGGCUACACACGUGCUACAAUGGCAUAUACAAAGAGAAGCGACCUCGCGAGAGCAAGCGGACCUCAUAAAGUAUGUCGUAGUCCGGAUUGGAGUCUGCAACUCGACUCCAUGAAGUCGGAAUCGCUAGUAAUCGUAGAUCAGAAUGCUACGGUGAAUACGUUCCCGGGCCUUGUACACACCGCCCGUCACACCAUGGGAGUGGGUUGCAAAAGAAGUAGGUAGCUUAACCUUCGGGAGGGCGCUUACCACUUUGUGAUUCAUGACUGGGGUGAAGUCGUAACAAGGUAACC